CUUAUAUUCUUUUAAUAAUAUAUUUAAAAAAAUAAAACUAUUUAAUUAUAUCAAAUGUCAACUACAUCCCUAAUGUAACUGUUGCAUCUCAUAAUAACUUAUCCAAAAAUGACAAAAUCACAGUAAUGAAGCUCUUGAGAGUGUGACACUAUAUAGUUGGUUUCCACAACCUAUGGCCAAAUAAUUUGACAGCCAAUAUUUUUCGAUAUCAUGUAAUAUCAUCCUAAUUGGCAAUACGUGUUGACGUCAAGGGCAUGAGCUAGAACCUCCAAAGACUGCAUAAAAAAUGCUCCACAAUUACCACUAAUAAAAUUCAUUUAUAUCAAUAAUAAAAUCACCAUUCUUAUUAAAAAAAAAACCAAUAUAUAAUGUACCAAAUUGCAUACCCUGAUUUUUUUUUUGCAGGAUGUUUCAUACUCGCAAGAUGGGCGAAGGGAUAUUUGAUAUCACAUCAGUACAAUCUAAAUGUUUUUCUUAAUAUGAUAUCUUCUGAAGUAGCAAAGGUAUUUGCAAUAGCUUAAAACCAUGACCAUCAAAACUAGAUAAAACCAUAGAGAAAUUUCUUUCUUGAAAUUAACCAGAGAUUUUUUAAUUGUCUAAUAAUAAGAUAGGAAGACUAUGGAAAAAGAUACAAACAGGGAAGAGAAAGUAGUACAAAUUCAAAUCUAUAAAGAAAAGAAAAGAAAAUGGUAAGCAUUUGGCCUUUAGCACAGCUACUUCUAUACCAACAACACAUGUGACAUAAUUAGGAGUCCCGGAAGAAUCUGAGAAUGAGAAAAGGUAGACAAAAUUUCUUUUGCUUUUUUUAAAAAAAUUAAAAUAAAUGAAAAGAAACAAAAACACUCUUUAAUAAAAAUGCCAUAUUGAAAGAUAUGUUGACCAAUUCACAUUGAAAGUCUCGAAAUUCUACCUUCUACUACUACUGCUGCUGCUACUGAUGAUGAUGAUGAUGAUAAUAAUUAGAAAAAAUGAACAAUAAAAAUAAAAGGGGCCAUACAUUCUAGCUGAAACUUGCACGUGAUGGAACGUGUUAGUGCUUCAAUUUUUGGUUCCAGGUAAUUCCACACUAUGAGAAUAUGAAAGUUGUAAAAAAGUUACUUUUUCGUCGAAGUUACAGCUAGUGUAGAGAGAAAUGGGCACAUCUUCUCAUGCAAGCAUGAGGAGAGAAAUAGAGAGGAACGAAGGAACGGAAACAGGCAGGAUGAGACAAGAUAAAUUCAGGGCAUAUAGCCGAAAAAACUCUUCAAGCAAAAACAGAGUGAUACCAAGCAUGCAAGUGAAAUAAGUGAAGUCGACAAGCAUCAUGACGUUCUUGAAUCUUGAUGCCUAUAAUUUAUUGAUGCUACUGCAAGUGCCUGGUGAGGUAGAAAAGAAGAAUGACCAAACAAUUGGAACUCAUUGUUUCUCAUCAUCAAACUUCAAAAAGUAGAUAAUCUUCACAAAUACAGAAAAAUCAAGGAAAUUCACUUUCUAUUAGCAAAUCAAGGAGUAAUAUCUACAAAACCUUUCACACUCCAUUCAUUCUCAUUAACAUAUAAAUUAUUCUAAGAUGCAUUUAACCAAAUUUUUACACCUUCAUCUAUUAAUGCGCCUUGGAAGAGGCAAAAUAUCAAUCAAGUUGCAUGCAUUUCUAAAAACAUUUCAUUGUUUUAAUAAAACAAUAAAUCAAACAAAUGAACUGACCUUGGCCUUAACCUUGCAAUUUCAAACUCAAGCUCCUGAGCUUCAGUAUCAAUAAAGUACUCAAUCAACUCUUCAACAGUAUUGGAUAAAACCCAAGAUUAAUCCAACCCAUUACCAUAUCAGACAUGAUAACAAGAAACGCAAUGUUAACCAACUAUAAAUUAUAGGACCAAGAUUCAAGAAACCCAUGUAUGUAUAUAUAAAAUUUUACUUGGCGAAGAUCUAAUAUUGAUGCUACUUCAUGAAAUCUUGGCCGUCGAUUAGGGAUGAUUUUCACAGCCACUGAGAAUGCCGCCUCCAAGAAUGCCACCACCAACAAGAGAGAAAUUAUUAUGGUUGAUAAGGGUAAUUUUGAUGAAGCUAUUGCGGCCAAAGGAGAAGAAAUUCAGUGAAGAGGAGGAGGAAGAAAUCUCGUAAAGGAGAAGAACAAGGUUGAGUAUUCAGCGCUUGUGUAAUUGGAGAUAUUUGAGGGUAUUUUAGACAUUACUCAUGUCAAAAG
rnacentral:lncRNA from 1 species